AGGACGAACGCUGGCGGCGUGCCUAACACAUGCAAGUCGAACGAGGUUAAUCCGGUAGCAAUACUGGUGACUGCCUAGUGGCGAACGGGUGAGUAGCACGUGAGCAACCUGCCCCGAAGACCGGGACAACACCGGGAAACCGGUGCUAAUACCGGAUACCCCCACCUAAUCGCAUGAUCUGGUGAGGAAAUGGAUUCCGCUUCGGGAGGGGCUCGCGGCCUAUCAGCUAGUUGGUGAGGUAACGGCUCACCAAGGCUUCGACGGGUAGCUGGUCUGAGAGGACGAUCAGCCACACUGGGACUGAGACACGGCCCAGACUCCUACGGGAGGCAGCAGUGGGGAAUCUUGCACAAUGGGCGAAAGCCUGAUGCAGCAACGCCGCGUGAGGGACGAAGGCUUUCUGAGUUGUAAACCUCUUUCAGCAGGGACGAUUGUGACGGUACCUGCAGAAGACGCCCGGCACUACGUGCCAGCAGCCGCGGUAA
rnacentral:rRNA from 1 species